AGCCCUACGGGAGGCAGCAGUGGGGGAUAUUGCACAAUGGGGGGAACCCUGAUGCAGCGACGCCGCGUGAAGGAAGAAGUAUCUCGGUAUGUAAACUUCUAUCAGCAGGGAAGAAAAUGACGGUACCUGACUAAGAAGCCCCGGCUAACUACGUGCCAGCAGCCGCGGUAAUACGUAGGGGGCAAGCGUUAUCCGGAUUUACUGGGUGUAAAGGGAGCGUAGACGGCAGUGCAAGUCUGAAGUGAAAGGCGGGGGCCCAACCCCCGGACUGCUUUGGAAACUGUGCUGCUGGAGUGCAGGAGAGG
rnacentral:rRNA from 1 species